rnacentral:rRNA from 1 species
UACAGAGGGUGCAAGCGUUGUUCGGAAUUAUUGGGCGUAAAGCGCGUGUAGGCGCCAAGCAAGUCGGGUGUGAAAGCCCUCAGCUCAACUGAGGAAGUGCGCCCGAAACUGCAUGGCUUGAGUACCGGAGAGGGUGGCGGAAUUCCCGAAGUAGAGGUGAAAGUUCGUAGAUAUCGGGAGGAACACCGGUGGCGAAGGCGGCC